rnacentral:rRNA from 1 species
GUGGGGAAUAUUGGGCAAUGGGCGCAAGCCUGACCCAGCAACGCCGCGUGAGGGAAGAAGGUCUUCGGAUUGUAAACCUCUGUCCUUGGGGACGAAAAAAAUGACGGUACCCAAGGAGGAAGCUCCGGCUAACUACGUGCCAGCAGCCGCGGUAAUACGUAGGGAGCGAGCGUUGUCCGGAAUUACUGGGCGUAAAGGGUGCGUAGGCGGCUUGGCAAGUCAGAUGGGAAAUCCCCGGGCUUAACUCGGGAGUUGCAUUUGAAACUGCUAGGCUUGAGUGCAGGAGAGGAAAGCGGAAUUCCUAGUGUAGCGGUGAAAUGCGUAGAUAUUAGGAGGAACACCAGUGGCGAAGGCGGCUUUCUGGACUGUAACUGACGCUGAGGCACGAAAGCGUGGGGAGCAAACAGGAUUAGAAACCCUGGUAGUCC